UCUUAAAGGCUUUGUCUCCUCUAGUGAGC
rnacentral:sRNA from 1 species